rnacentral:rRNA from 1 species
AAUUAAAUAAACUUUUUUUUAAUGGUUAUAUUUAUAAAUAAAUUAUUGAUCCUUAAUUUAAGAUUAGAAGAUUAAAUUACCUUAGGGAUAACAGCGUAAUUUUUUUUAAGAGUUCAAAUUAAAAAAAAAGAUUGCGACCUCGAUGUUGGAUUAAAAUAAAUAAUUGGUGUAGAGGCUAAUUUAUUAGGUCUGUUCGACCUUUAAAAUUUUACAUGAUCUGA